rnacentral:tRNA from 1 species
CCAGACGCUGGCCCGGUUCCAGCUGCAGGUUGAGGUUCUGCAGCACGUCGUGGGUAGCGCCCAACGGACGCAGUACCAGACCGUGCGCCUGCA